UACGGAGGGUGCAAGCGUUGCUCGGAAUUAUUGGGCGUAAAGGGCAGGUAGGUGGUCUCGUUUGUCUGGGGUGAAAGCCUUGAGCUUAACUCAAGAAGUGCCUUAGAAACGGCGAGACUAGAGUCUUGGAGAGGGUCGUGGAAUUCCCGGUGUAGCGGUGAAAUGCGUAGAGAUCGGGAGGAACACCAGCGGCGAAGGCGGCGACCUGGACCGUAGCUGACGCUGAGACACGAAAGCGUGGGUAGCAAACAGG
rnacentral:rRNA from 1 species